GCAUCGAUGGAAGAANNCAAGCGAAAUGCGAUAAGUAAUGUGAAUUGCAAGAAUUUCAGUGAAUUCAUCGAAUCUUUGAACGCUCAUUGCGCCCGCCAGCAUUUCUGGCGGGCAUGCCUGUUCGAGCGUCAUU
rnacentral:rRNA from 1 species